UACGUAGGGGGCAAGCGUUGUCCGGAUUUAUUGGGCGUAAAGAGCGUGUAGGCGGCUUUACAGGUCCGUUGUGAAAACUCGAGGCUCAACCUCGAGACGCCGGUGGAAACCGUAAGGCUAGAGUCCGGAAGAGGAGAGUGGAAUUCCUGGUGUAGCGGUGAAAUGCGCAGAUAUCAGGAAGAACACCUAUGGCGAAGGCAGCACUCUGGGACGGUACUGACGCUGAGACGCGAAAGCGUGGGGAGCGAACAGG
rnacentral:rRNA from 1 species